GGGGAGUCAUUGCUGCUUCUCCAGCAGCAGAACUGAAGAUGCAAGCCAGGUGCCUAGAAAGCAAACGUUUAGGAAACCCUCACUCUCAGGGCUGCAUGGGCGCUGUGCUCCCGACACAGCACCUGCUGACAUUCUGUGCCGUUUCCACCUUGCCUGGCUCACUGUGGUCUCUGCCUUGCCCUACAGCUCUGUCUCCAUCCCUGGGGCUCUAAGCUCUCAGCCAGCUGCCCAUGCUGGCAUCUCAGCUCUCUGCCACUGCAGCCACACCCCUGCCAUCUUCAUGCCUGGGAAGAAGCUAAUGUGAUUGGGCACUGGUUCCAGGCCAGCUGGCUCCAGAGUGCAAGCAGGCUCUGCACACUCAGCAGGCACCAGGAGGAUCUUCCUACCCCCCAACUUGCCAGUUGUCCACCUCCCUGGACCAAGGACCCCUGGGAGACCAGCUUUUGUGCGUGCCCUAACCUCCCCCGCUCCCUGCCAGAGCUGCUUCCUCCUCGCCUGCGAGAAAGCCUUAGCAGCCGGAGCCCAGCUGCUCUACCUUCUCCUCCCCUUCCUCCAGCAAGGCACGUUACGGAUGGCCACGUUGAAGGAUUCCUCUCAGUGUUUGGCAACCAGAGCUCCCAUCUGGGGCAGCCCAGCUCCCUCCGUCAUGUCAUAAAUCACUUUGCUAAAGAUGCAACGUGGCUUUUGGGCAUUUUUCUUUUGAAAAAUCAAUAACUCGUUUAACAAGGGACUGCAUAAAGGAGUGAGCAGUGAAGCCGCCUGUCAUUUCCUUCCAUCAGGAGGGGCAGAAGCAGUGCCCUGCCAAGGUUGGGUGGGGGGGUCUACUCAGAGGGCAGUGAGGCCUUGGGGGUGGGGACAGUAGGCUCAACCCAUUUCCAGCAAACCUGUCCCCUCAUCCCAAUUCUUCCAACCUCCAGACCUGACCAAUGCCCUCCUCUGCUUCAAAAAAACACCUUAGUA
rnacentral:lncRNA from 1 species